rnacentral:tRNA from 1 species
UAAUUCUUAGCUCAGUUGGUAGAGCAGAUGCCUUCUAAGCAUUUGGUCAUAGGUUCGACUCCUAUAGAAUCCA